CGUGCCAGCAGCUGUCGAAAAGAAGCCGGAGGGCUGUGUCACGACGGCGUCGGAGUUCCAAGCGUCGUGCUUGACCUACGUCGUUAUACGGCUAGCCCUCCAAUCACUUGAAAAUCAGGGUGUGUUCAUGAACACGCCGCUUCACGAGAGGUACCGCUAUGUUGCCUACCGGCAGUGUGCAUCCUGGCUCUGGGGGCACCUUGGUGAAGGGAACCGUCAUGUGCUGCCAUCAUGUGUUGUGUGGGCAAUUCGGGAAAAGUUCCCUUCAACGUACUACACUGGAUUUAGACCUACACUGUAGAGAUAAAAUUGAUGUACCGUAACUAUUUUCAAUACAUACUUUUGUGGA